rnacentral:rRNA from 1 species
GGUUAAGCGACUAAGCGUACACGGUGGAUGCCCUGGCAGUCAGAGGCGAUGAAGGACGUGCUAAUCUGCGAUAAGCGUCGGUAAGGUGAUAUGAACCGUUAUAACCGGCGAUUUCCGAAUGGGGAAACCCAGUGUGAUUCGUCACACUAUCAUUAACUGAAUCCAUAGGUUAAUGAGGCGAACCGGGGGAACUGAAACAUCUAAGUACCCCGAGGAAAAGAAAUCAACCGAGAUUCCCCCAGUAGCGGCGAGCGAACGGGGAGCAGCCCAGAGCCUGAAUCAGUGUGUGUGUUAGUGGAAGCGUCUGGAAAGGCGCGCGAUACAGGGUGACAGCCCCGUACACAAAAAUGCACAUGCUGUGAGCUCGAUGAGUAGGGCGGGACACGUGGUAUCCUGUCUGAAUAUGGGGGGACCAUCCUCCAAGGCUAAAUACUCCUGACUGACCGAUAGUGAACCAGUACCGUGAGGGAAAGGCGAAAAGAACCCCGGCGAGGGGAGUGAAAAAGAACCUGAAACCGUGUACGUACAAGCAGUGGGAGCCUCUUUAUGGGGUGACUGCGUACCUUUUGUAUAAUGGGUCAGCGACUUAUAUUCUGUAGCAAGGUUAACCGAAUAGGGGAGCCGAAGGGAAACCGAGUCUUAACUGGGCGUUAAGUUGCAGGGUAUAGACCCGAAACCCGGUGAUCUAGCCAUGGGCAGGUUGAAGGUUGGGUAACACUAACUGGAGGACCGAACCGACUAAUGUUGAAAAAUUAGCGGAUGACUUGUGGCUGGGGGUGAAAGGCCAAUCAAACCGGGAGAUAGCUGGUUCUCCCCGAAAGCUAUUUAGGUAGCGCCUCGUGAAUUCAUCUCCGGGGGUAGAGCACUGUUUCGGCAAGGGGGUCAUCCCGACUUACCAACCCGAUGCAAACUGCGAAUACCGGAGAAUGUUAUCACGGGAGACACACGGCGGGUGCUAACGUCCGUCGUGAAGAGGGAAACAACCCAGACCGCCAGCUAAGGUCCCAAAGUCAUGGUUAAGUGGGAAACGAUGUGGGAAGGCCCAGACAGCCAGGAUGUUGGCUUAGAAGCAGCCAUCAUUUAAAGAAAGCGUAAUAGCUCACUGGUCGAGUCGGCCUGCGCGGAAGAUGUAACGGGGCUAAACCAUGCACCGAAGCUGCGGCAGCGACGCUUAUGCGUUGUUGGGUAGGGGAGCGUUCUGUAAGCCUGCGAAGGUGUACUGUGAGGUAUGCUGGAGGUAUCAGAAGUGCGAAUGCUGACAUAAGUAACGAUAAAGCGGGUGAAAAGCCCGCUCGCCGGAAGACCAAGGGUUCCUGUCCAACGUUAAUCGGGGCAGGGUGAGUCGACCCCUAAGGCGAGGCCGAAAGGCGUAGUCGAUGGGAAACAGGUUAAUAUUCCUGUACUUGGUGUUACUGCGAAGGGGGGACGGAGAAGGCUAUGUUGGCCGGGCGACGGUUGUCCCGGUUUAAGCGUGUAGGCUGGUUUUCCAGGCAAAUCCGGAAAAUCAAGGCUGAGGCGUGAUGACGAGGCACUACGGUGCUGAAGCAACAAAUGCCCUGCUUCCAGGAAAAGCCUCUAAGCAUCAGGUAACAUCAAAUCGUACCCCAAACCGACACAGGUGGUCAGGUAGAGAAUACCAAGGCGCUUGAGAGAACUCGGGUGAAGGAACUAGGCAAAAUGGUGCCGUAACUUCGGGAGAAGGCACGCUGAUAUGUAGGUGAAGCGACUUGCUCGUGGAGCUGAAAUCAGUCGAAGAUACCAGCUGGCUGCAACUGUUUAUUAAAAACACAGCACUGUGCAAACACGAAAGUGGACGUAUACGGUGUGACGCCUGCCCGGUGCCGGAAGGUUAAUUGAUGGGGUUAGCGGCAACGCGAAGCUCUUGAUCGAAGCCCCGGUAAACGGCGGCCGUAACUAUAACGGUCCUAAGGUAGCGAAAUUCCUUGUCGGGUAAGUUCCGACCUGCACGAAUGGCGUAAUGAUGGCCAGGCUGUCUCCACCCGAGACUCAGUGAAAUUGAACUCGCUGUGAAGAUGCAGUGUACCCGCGGCAAGACGGAAAGACCCCGUGAACCUUUACUAUAGCUUGACACUGAACAUUGAGCCUUGAUGUGUAGGAUAGGUGGGAGGCUUUGAAGUGUGGACGCCAGUCUGCAUGGAGCCGACCUUGAAAUACCACCCUUUAAUGUUUGAUGUUCUAACGUUGGCCCCUUAUCGGGGUUGCGGACAGUGUCUGGUGGGUAGUUUGACUGGGGCGGUCUCCUCCUAAAGAGUAACGGAGGAGCACGAAGGUUGGCUAAUCCUGGUCGGACAUCAGGAGGUUAGUGCAAUGGCAUAAGCCAGCUUGACUGCGAGCGUGACGGCGCGAGCAGGUGCGAAAGCAGGUCAUAGUGAUCCGGUGGUUCUGAAUGGAAGGGCCAUCGCUCAACGGAUAAAAGGUACUCCGGGGAUAACAGGCUGAUACCGCCCAAGAGUUCAUAUCGACGGCGGUGUUUGGCACCUCGAUGUCGGCUCAUCACAUCCUGGGGCUGAAGUAGGUCCCAAGGGUAUGGCUGUUCGCCAUUUAAAGUGGUACGCGAGCUGGGUUUAGAACGUCGUGAGACAGUUCGGUCCCUAUCUGCCGUGGGCGCUGGAGAACUGAGGGGGGCUGCUCCUAGUACGAGAGGACCGGAGUGGACGCAUCACUGGUGUUCGGGUUGUCAUGCCAAUGGCACUGCCCGGUAGCUAAAUGCGGAAGAGAUAAGUGCUGAAAGCAUCUAAGCACGAAACUUGCCCCGAGAUGAGUUCUCCCUGACCCUUUAAGGGUCCUGAAGGAACGUUGAAGACGACGACGUUGAUAGGCCGGGUGUGUAAGCGCAGCGAUGCGUUGAGCUAACCGGUACUAAUGAACCGUGAGGCUUAACCUU